rnacentral:rRNA from 1 species
GUCCACGCCGUAAACGAUGUGCACUAGAUAUGGGGGGUAUUGACCCCUUCCGUGUCGCAGCUAACGCAUUAAGUGCACCGCCUGGGGAGUACGGUCGCAAGACUAAAACUCAAAGGAAUUGACGGGGGCCCGCACAAGCGGUGGAUUAUGUGGUUUAAUUCGAAGCAACGCGCAGAACCUUACCUAGGCUUGAAGUCCCACGAACCUUGCCCAAAAGCGAGGGUGCCCUUUGGGGAAUGUGGU